CGCCAUCUUGGUAAAGCGAUGAUGCCAGCCGGGCUCCACAGCCACCAUCUUGGCAAAAGUUUUCAAUUGCGACCGGCCUAAAUCGCCCUCCCAUGGUUCACAAAGGGAAACGCUGCCAUAUGUGCAGUCUGAUAUGCUCUUCCACCAUGGCCUUCCAGGCUGGAGCCAGCUGGCCAGGAGAAGACUGAGACCUCUGAAACUAAAACUUCAGGUUGAGCAGGAGUCCUAGCUGACUGAAGAACAGGCCACUACCUGAAGAUGUCUUGUAUCUUGCUUUAUUGAAUCCAUCUUAUGUUCAAUGUAUUCCAGUUGGAGUUCUCUAAAACUGGCAUCUGAAAGGAUCCUGAAACCAGAAGUAAAGAUCUGAACCAUGAAGGUGUGCUCCUACUGGAGGAGAGAGGGCUCUCAGAUACCUCAAAAGAAAAGGAGAAGACCAAAAGAGAAGCUCACUGAAUGCCAAAAAAUGAACUUUACCUGCUUCACAAGCUGGGCUAUAAUUUCAUCUUAAUGAUUAAGUGAAACGAUCAAACUCCUUUAUUUAAAAUACAUGUACAUAAAUGAGAAUAUCAACUAUUAAAUUCACUGAU